AUUGAACGCUGGCGGCAGGCCUAACACAUGCAAGUCGAGCGGAUGAAGGGAGCUUGCUCCUGGAUUCAGCGGCGGACGGGUGAGUAAUGCCUAGGAAUCUGCCUGGUAGUGGGGGAUAACGUCCGGAAACGGGCGCUAAUACCGCAUACGUCCUGAGGGAGAAAGUGGGGGAUCUUCGGACCUCACGCUAUCAGAUGAGCCUAGGUCGGAUUAGCUAGUUGGUGGGGUAAAGGCCUACCAAGGCGACGAUCCGUAACUGGUCUGAGAGGAUGAUCAGUCACACUGGAACUGAGACACGGUCCAGACUCCUACGGGAGGCAGCAGUGGGGAAUAUUGGACAAUGGGCGAAAGCCUUAUCCAGCCAUGCCGCGUGUGUGAAGAAGGUCUUCGGAUUGUAAAGCACUUUAAGUUGGGAGGAAGGGCAGUAAGUUAAUACCUUGCUGGUUUGACGUUACCAACAGAAUAAGCACCGGCUAACUUCGUG
rnacentral:rRNA from 1 species